UACGUAGGAGGCAAGCGUUGUCCGGAUUUACUGGGCGUAAAGGGCGCGUAGGCGGCCUUCUAAGUCGAACGUGAAAUCCCCGGGCUCAACCCGGGAACUGCGUCCGAGACUGGAAGGCUUGAAUCCGGGAGAGGGAUGUGGAAUUCCAGGUGUAGCGGUGAAAUGCGUAGAUAUCUGGAGGAACAUCGGUGGCGAAGGCGGCAUCCUGGACCGGUAUUGACGCUGAGGCG
rnacentral:rRNA from 1 species